GGUUGACCUCGGAUCGGGUAGGGAUACCCGCUGAACUUAAGCAUAUCUA
rnacentral:rRNA from 1 species